ensembl:lncRNA
CUCUGACCCCUUGACCCAGUCCGACUCCUCUCCGAGUGGAGUGACUGUAAGAAAGAGGCGAAGACUGGCAGCGAGUCCUGGAGGUCUGCACUGGAACUCAGCAGGUUCGGUGCAACGUGACUUCCUGUCUCCUAUGUCACCUGACCCGUCUCCCUUGGCAACGGCAGGUGUGCGAGGGGGCGGGACAGUGGGUGACAGGUGCGACAGGGUCACUUUGAGGAAGACUCUCUCUGUGGAUGACCAGUUUCUCCAGAGCACUCCCAAACUGAAGCUGCUGAGUCGACUGGAGCGAGGGACGCGGAAACUACGCAAUAAUCACGCUGGGGGCGCCGCUGGACGCUUGGACUGCAGGAAAAAACCUGAGGGGGGCAGUAUUGGUCGCCUGGCUCAGAGGUGGAAGCGCUGGUCUUUAGGAGAUGGUCUAAACGCAGAAUUCACGUCUCUGUUCUACUCAGGACUCCACCAAUCCUCUGGC